rnacentral:lncRNA from 1 species
CCUGUGACUCCUCACUAGGACUACCCUGGCCAAGGUUUUGCUAAAUUGAAACACGACUGUACACAGCUCCUGAACUGGAGUGGUCAAUCUCAUCUUGACACACGCACCAACAAGUCAAGUACUUGACUACACCCAGCAGCCUUCCGUCACUGAAUUAGAAAUUCAGGUAGUCCAGUGCCUAAGUGCAGUGAGUUGCUUGCAAGUCACCAUGG